CAGCCGCCACGGUAAUACGGAGGGGGCUAGCGUUGUUCGGAAUUACUGAGCGUAAAGCGCACGUAGGCGGCUAUGUAAGUUAGAGGUGAAAGCCUGGUGCUCAACACCAGAACUGCCUUUAAGACUGCAUCGCUUGAACGUCGGAGAGGUGAGUGGGAUUCCGAGUGUAGAGGUGAAAUUCGUAGAUAUUCGGAAGAACACCAGUGGCGAAGGCGGCUCACUGGCUCAUACUGGACGCUGAGGUGCGAAAGCGUGGGGAGCAAACAGGAUUAGAUACCCGUGUAGUCCCUGUCUCUUAUAA
rnacentral:rRNA from 1 species